AUAAAACAUUUUUUAGUACACGUGUCCACGUCAGUAUUUUAAUAAUAUUAUAUUUUCAUGCUUUUAGUGAAGAAUUGUUUUACUAUCAGUCAUAUUUUAAAACGGGAGGUUUCGAAAUAACCAAAGAAAACAACGAUUCUAAACCGGAACGUGCCUGAAGGAAUGAACUGUAGUUCUCUUUUAUAGCGGUUUAAAAUGUAUCUAAAAGUAUAUACGGGUGUUUGCAAUAAUUUAAUCACAGACGUAGAAAUAUAACCAAGAUUCACGACGACCAAUGUAUUGAUAGAGCAGUUGUUUAAAUAAAAGAGCAGCAUCAGUUUUGGAAAUGUCACAUUUUAUAUUUGUGUCAGUUUUUAGUUAAGUAAAUUGGAAAACUACAAGCGGUGUGUAUUUCAGUAUGCUAACGUGACGUUUUUCAGCAGGUUUCAUUUGAUUUUAUGAAGCAGAAUUAGUUAACACUCAAAUCAACCCCUCGACAGCAGUUCUACUAAAUGUCCACACGAGGGCAGCAUUGGAUAGGAAAUGAAAGCUAAAGCCUCGUCUGUCUCCCUGAAGUUCGCAACCAAUUGUAAAGAGCAGAGGACAGCUCAGCCGGAGGCGUGUGUCUGUGUGAAACGACUUUAUUUCAUGUGAUAAGUUUGUGGAAGAAGGACGCCAUGUGAGGAGGCGUUUGCUCUUGUUUUACACAGACUACGAGGGACAGCGCUCGUUAAACCAGGUCUGUGAGGAUGAGAAGGUCUCCACAGUCUGGAGUCUGGUCUCUGACAGGCUCAACAUACCUGUCAAUCAACAGGGACUCCUCUGCAAAGGCAAGGCGCUGGCAGGUCUGUGAGGAUGAGAAGGUCUCCACAGUCUGGAGUCUGGUCUCUGACAGGCUCAACAUACCUGUCAAUCAACAGGGACUCCUCUACAAAGGCAAGGCGCUGGCAGAUGAACACAGACUGUCACACGACUCCAUCGCUCCCGAUUCCAAGCUGAACUCGUUGUGACGCCCCCAACAGAGAAAGUGUCACCCUCCCAAGAACAGCACUCCCUGUGUCACCCCUCCUCUCAGACCUCACCCCUCACCCUCGCCUCACCCCUCCUGUCACACCUCACCCCUCGCCACACCCCUCCUCUCACACCUCACCCCUCCUCUCACCCAUCGCCUCAACCCUCCUGUCACCCCUCGCCCCUCCUCUCACCCCUCGCCUAACCCCUCCUCUCACGCCUCGCCUCACCCCAGGUCAGUGUGGCACAGCCUGCCUGCUCUUCUGAACAAACACUUCAGCCCUGCCGACGCAGUGAGAGUCUGGAGCAGCAACACAAGGAUUACGAGCGGAGGCUGCGCUUGUUGAGCCUGGAUGAUAUGGAGCGGCUGGCGACCCGCAUGCUUCACCCUGAGGCUGUGGAGUGCAUGGAGCUGUCCUUCCUAGACUGAGGAAUACUGCUGCUGCCCUCUCCACCUCUCCCCACUCUUCUCCCCUCUCCCCUCUCUCCUCUCCUCUUUACUCUCUCCUCCCCCUCUCCUCUCCUCUCCUUACUUUGUUUAAAAGAAUAGAAGCACACCCAGUGAGCAAGGCAUUGAGCAGCCCCACAUCCCGCUUCACAAUACCGCUACAUAUUGACUGACUGUUUGCAUUGUGUGUGUUUGGUAAGACAAACCACAUUUUCUACUUUCUGCUAUUUUAAAAGGAGCCCAGUUUGGUGCAGGAGGCUUGUGGGUAACAGAGUUGUUUUUGCUGGGGACUGCAGCCCUUCCAUUACCAUUGCUCGUAGAGGGGAGAUUGUUUUACUUUCAAGCCUUUUUCUUUAAUAAAUCCGGACGUUUGGAAAUACA